rnacentral:rRNA from 1 species
UGCAAGUCGUGCGAGAAAGUAUCUUCGGAUAUGAGUAGAGCGGCGGACGGGUGAGUAACGCGCAGGAAUCUACCUAGUAGAAGGGGAUAGCCCGAGGAAACUCGGAUUAAUACCGUAUACCUCCUUCGGGAGAAAGAAGGCCUCUCUUUGAAGCUUUCGCUACUAGAUGAGCCUGCGUAAGAUUAGCUUGUUGGUGAGGUAAAGGCUCACCAAGGCGACGAUCUUUAGUGGGUCUGAGAGGACGAUCCGCCACAUCGGGACUGAGACACGGCCCAGACUCCUACGGGAGGCAGCAGUGGGGAAUAUUGGACAAUGGGCGCAAGCCUGAUCCAGCCAUACCGCGUGUGUGAAGAAGGCCCUAGGGUUGUAAAGCACUUUAAGUUGGGAAGAAAAGUUAUUGAUUAAUACCCAAUAACCGUGACAUUACCAUCAGAAUAAGGACCGGCUAAUUCCGUGCCAGCAGCCGCGGUAAUACGGAAGGUCCAAGCGUUAAUCGGAAUUACUGGGCGUAAAGCGCGCGUAGGUGGUUUAUUAAGUUGGAUGUGAAAUCCCCGGGCUCAACCUGGGAACUGCAUCCAAAACUGAUUCACUAGGGUACGAUAGAGGGAGGUAGAAUUCACAGUGUAGCGGUGGAAUGCGUAGAUAUUGUGA